CACGUAGGGCGCGAGCGUUGUCCGGAAUUAUUGGGCGUAAAGAGCUCGUAGGCGGCCUGUUGCGUCCGCUGUGAAAGCCCGGGGCUUAACCCCGGGUCGGCAGUGGAUACGGGCAGGCUAGAGGUAGGUAGGGGAGAAUGGAAUUCCCGGUGUAGCGGUGAAAUGCGCAGAUAUCGGGAGGAACACCGGUGGCGAAGGCGGUUCUCUGGGCAGUAACUGACGCUGAGGAGCGAAAGCGUGGGGAGCGAACAGG
rnacentral:rRNA from 1 species